UACGUAGGGUGCAAGCGUUAAUCGGAAUUACUGGGCGUAAAGCGUGCGCAGGCGGUUUUGUAAGGCUGUCGUGAAAGCCCCGGGCUCAACCUGGGAAUUGCGAUGGAGACUGCAAGGCUUGAAUCUGGCAGAGGGGGGUAGAAUUCCACGUGUAGCAGUGAAAUGCGUAGAUAUCUGGAGGAACACCGGUGGCGAAGGCGGCAUCCUGGACCGGCAUUGACGCUGAGGCGCGAAAGCCAGGGGAGCAAACGGG
rnacentral:rRNA from 1 species